AAGAGAUUCGGGUGUGCCCGAAAGGGAAUCGGAACACAGGUGCUGCAUGGCUGUCGUCAGCUCGUGUCGUGAGAUGUUGGGUUAAGUCCCGCAACGAGCGCAACCCUUGUCAUUAGUUGCUCCAUUAAGUUGAGCACUCUAAUGAGACUGCCGGUGACAAACCGGAGGAAGGUGGGGAUGACGUCAAGUCAGCAUGGCCUUUAUGUCUGGGGCCACACACGUGCUACAAUGGCCGGUACAAACCGUUGCAAACUCGCGAGGGUGAGCUAAUCGGAUAAAGCUGGUCUCAGUUCGGAUUGUAGGCUGCAACUCGCCUGCAUGAAGUUGGAAUCGCUAGUAAUCGCGGAUCAGCACGCCGCGGUGAAUACGUUCCCGGGCCUUGUACACACCGCCCGUCACAUCACGAAAGCCGG
rnacentral:rRNA from 1 species